CUCCACCCGUUGUGGUGCUCCCCCGCCAAUUCCUUUAAGUUUCAGCCUUGCGGCCGUACUUCCCAGGUGGCUCGCUUCACGGCUUCCCUACGGCACCGACAACGGUCGCACCGUGGCCGACACCUAGCGAGUAUCGUUUACGGCUAGGACUACCCGGGUAUCUAAUCCGGUUCGUGCCCCUAGCUUUCGUCCCUUGCCGUCAGGUCCGUUCUGGUGAGACGCCUUCGCCACUGGUGGUCCUUCAAGGAUUACAAGAUUUCACCCCUACCCCUGAAGUACCUCUCACCUCUCCCGGCCUCGAGCCAGACAGUAUCUCCUGAAAGCCUGACAGUUAAGCUGCCAGAUUUCUCAAGAGACUUAUCCGGCCGGCUACAGACCCUUUAGACCCAAUAAUAACGGUUACCACUCGAGCCGCCGGUGUUACCGCGGCGGCUGGCACCGGUCUUGCCCGGCCCUUGCUAUGAAAUGCUUUUUAGGCAUCUCGACAGCCAGAUUUGUAACCUGGCACUCGAGGUUCCCUUAUCGCUGUUGCCAGCAUUGUAAAGUUUUCGCGCCUGCUGCACCCCGUAGGGCCUGGAUUCGUGUCUCAGAAUCCAUCUCCGGGCUCUUGCUCUCACAACCCGUACCCGUCGUAGGCUAGUAGGUACGCUACACCCACUACUACCUGAUAGGCCGCAGACCCAUCCUUAGGCGCCGGAGCUUUAAAUCUCGAUGCAUUCCAGCAAUCGAGACCUAUCGGGUAUUAUACCCAGUUUCCCGGGUUUAUACCCAACCUAAGGGCAGGUUGUCCACGUGUUACUGAGCAGUUCGCCAUGUAUUGCUACAUUCGACUCGCAUGGCUUAGUCGAACCUCGAUAGCAGUAACCUCCGGCAGGAU
rnacentral:rRNA from 1 species